rnacentral:rRNA from 1 species
AGCAGCCGCGGUAAUUCCAGCUCCAAUAGCGUAUAUUAAAGUUGUUGCAGUUAAAAAGCUCGUAGUUGAAUUUUAGGCCUGGCCGGGCGGUCCGUCUUUGGCGAGUACUGUCUGUUGUCGGGUCUUCCUUCUGGUGAACCAAUAUGUCCUUUAUUGGGUGUGCUGGGGAGCCAGGGACCAUUACCUUGAAAAAAUUUAGAAGUGUUUAAAGCAGGCUUUUGCUUGAAUAGAUUAGCAUGGAAUAAUAGAAUAGGACGUUGUGGUUCUAUUUUGUUGGUUUCUAGGACCACCGUAAUGAUUAAUAGGGAUAGUUGGGGGCAUUAGGUAUUCAAUUGUCAGAGGUGAAAUUCUUGGAUUUAUUGAAGACUAACUAUUGCGAAAGCAUUUGCCAAGGAUGUUUUCAUUAAUUCAAGAACGAAAGUUAGGGGAAUCGGAAGACGAAUCAGAUACCGUCGUAGUCUUAACCNUAAACUAUGCACUAGGAAUCGGGCGACGUUAUUUUAAUGACUCGUCUUCGGCG